UAAUAUUUGGCGUGGAAAUGGGAUUUUUUUUUUUGCAUCCUCCAAGCAAGUAAAGUGAAAUCAGUCAACAUUAUCCCCUCUCCCCUCGACAAGUGAGGAUUACUUUCUCCUUGGUGAAAAGAACAGAAUUGAAUGAGAUUCCAUGACCAACAAGACCAUACCACGGCUGGACUGAAGCUGAACAGGAAUGGCCAGAAGAUCCAUUAGUGAGAUUUGGCACAGAGGUGAGAAGCUCCAACUGAGAAAACUGGUCUCUCCGCCUAGCAGCUCCCGCUGCCCCUGCUGCCUGGCUAGACAAGUUAGAUACUUCUGCCGUGUCCCUGACACAG